UGCUUCUUUCCGGUUUGUCACGGAUUCGCGCCGUGGCUAUUGUUGACAGCAGCUCGACGUAGCUGUGAUACGUGUGUGUGGUCAUUUUGCUGACACUCGUCCAAGUAGCCAGACGUCUCGACAGUCAUUGCCAGCCACCACGUCGAAAGAUCGAGAAGCUGAACUCAUCGUCGGGGAAUUCCAAGACUGAUUAAAAAGAUGAGCGGUAGAUCACAAAUGUCAGCGAUGAAUGGGAAGAGGCCUUCUACAAUGCCUUCUAGACAUCAGCCAGAGAUUUGUCAGACAGAACAGGUUGCUCUGGCACAACACUUUGACUUGAUUAAAUAUAUCUGGGAUUCAUGGAAUUCUGUAUCUAGAGAGCUAGAUAUGUGUCAUAAUCAACCACACAGUAAUACCUCCAACUACAGAAAUGGAGCAUCAGUUACAUAUUACCAAGAACGCGAGCCAAAUCCACAGCUGAAGGGUAGGCAAUCAAGAAAGAAGCACAAAUCAGGUCAUCGCAAAUGAAACAGUCGAACUUUAUACCUUUAAUGGUGUAAAAAUCAACUCGUUUUGUUUGCAUCGAUCAUUAAUAAAAUACUUUCAUGUUGAUUGCCAUGUGAUUGUUGUCAAUUGGGCGUUGUUUUGUACAACAGAUCUUUUGUGUACCUGGAAUUCUAUAUUAGUCUGAUUUCGAGCCGUUCAAUUUGGAGGCAUGGUGGGGACAGCGUGUUGUUCAAAGUAUUACUAGGAAUUCGAGUUCCUAGUGCCAGACCCAACAUGUCGACUAUAAUCGGACGUUUUCUCAUAGACACAAGAAACAGAAGAGAUAAACUGACGACCCGCAAAUUCAAUUUUUGCUUUUAAUUUAUAAACAAUAUUCGUUAUAUAUACUUAAAAAGGAGAAAAAAUGACGAAAGAUGAUACGUUACAUAUACGUAUAUAUGUGUGUAUGUAUACAGAGAACAACUUCCGGAUUUUUUAUUAAUGGAAAGAACAGAGAGCGGUGAAUGUUAAACCAAUGCGAUAGAUGGAAAGAGAAAAAGAAUGAAGAAGAUACAGCGACAUAGACACGCAUGCUAGUACGCGAAACAUUCCUAUCUUAAGCUGUAUCUUAAUAUUGACCUCCCGUAUCUUGACCUUUUUCUUUCAAACAUUUAUUAAACAUAUGUUAAAUGGAGGAUCGUAGUUGAAAAUCGUUUUCCUGUUUCUGAUAUCGUGUUUGCAUUAUUUGAGAGAGAUGUUUAAUAAUUAAGAAAAUCAUACUUGCGUGACGAACUAUUUAUUUAUAAUCACUAAGCAAUACGAAUUGUACGCGAUGAGGCACAUAAAGCGUGACGAAUUAAUAUCCAAGAGAGUAUCGGUUUUUUAGGAGGACGUUGAAAUUAUUACUUGUAGAGAGUUUUGAGAAGCGCAUGCAUUCGCUUCGAUAGUUCUGCCACAAAUAACAUCGCUUAGGAAAAGUAAUAAUGCAUUUUUCUAAAUGAUACUCCAAACAAUGACGAAUCAGGGGGAAUUAUUGUGUCACGUUCUAGGUGUAUCACCCUGUAUAAUUUUAAGGCAUAAUUUACUACGAUAUAUCGAAUAUUUCCACUGUUAUUUGAAGAGGAGCAUAAGGUAAACGCCUUUUUAUCCCCUUGGAACAACAUUGGAUAAAAUGAGUUUGCUGCUCAAAGGUGCACAAAGCAUUUACAGAGUGCUCAAGCUUGUUUGAUAAAAAUUGCAUAGACGAAUUUUAAGGACUGUACCUAUCUAGGAUAUAUACACGUAAAUGUACUUUUCCACGUGUUGCAUUUCACACAUUUCCAAGAGGAUUUUUCACUCUCACGUCCGCAAGGUCCGCACUUUAGCUAAAUA